AUUUAAUUACAGAAAGUCUAGAGUAAAACAGUUUUUCUUCUUGGUGUGACAUUCUCAAAAUAUAUUCCUGGUUUUCCAAGAAGCAGAGAAUGCCAAGACUGUAUACCUGCUGUAACCUUUCUGGUCCUCAUUCUGCUUUAUAUGCUCAUAGGAUACAAUCUGUUCCUACUUUAUCCACCAUUUCCAGUUUGUACCUGUGAACCUACCUUGGAAGAAGCAAGUAAAGUGAUUUUUUUUCUCCAUUAUUUUUAUACCAAUCCUGAAAGACCAGGCCUUUUGCAGUCAAUGUGUUUAAACUGGGUUGUGUUAUUUGGUUACUUAUGGAACAUACAUUUUGAUAAUAUUUCACUCCAAUAAAUUAAGACUUUGAGUGCCAAGAAUUGCUAAGUAACUGUAACAUUGAAAAGUCACUCCCAAGUAAACAUACGUUCUAAAAUAGUAAAUUUGUUAUAUAACCACUUCAGAUUGUACACUUAACUUUUUUUUUUUUUCAACUCAUGUAGACCCUUUCAGAAGUUGAUUCAGAAUAUGGUCAUGGUCACCUUAGUGGAUUUUGUUCCCUCGUUUUGGUCAUGAAUUACAUUUGUGUUUUUUGCCAAACCAGACAAGCAAGAAAAUAUGCCUAGGACUGAAUAACCUCCCUUGUUCUUUUUGCCACUGGAUUAUGUAAGUUAAGAAUGGAAUUGUUUACCCUAACUAUAUAUUUCUUGACUUCCAUCCAUUUCUAAGGAAAUCUAAUUUAAGUUUUGGGGUUUUGUUUGAUCUGUAUUUAUUGAGUUCUGGUCAUAGACCAGGAGCCUGCAUGACAUGCUUAUUGACAGCCAGAACACAGUCAUUGGGGAACUUAAUGGCUCAAAACUUUCUGAAUAGUUUUAACUUAUUUUGUAUGUUGC
rnacentral:lncRNA from 1 species